AUUGAACGCUGGCGGCAGGCCUAACACAUGCAAGUCGAGCGAGCGGCGGACGGGUGAGUAAUGUAUCGGGAUGUGCCCGGUAGAGGGGGAUAACUACUGGAAACGGUGGCUAAUACCGCAUACUAUAGGAUCAACCCAUAUGGGAUGAGCUAGUAGGUGGGGUAAAGGCUCACCAAGGCGACGAUCCCUAGCUGGUUUGAGAGGAUGAUCAGCCACACUGGGACUGAGACACGGCCCAGACUCCUACGGGAGGCAGCAGUGGGGAAUAUUGGACAAUGGGCGAAAGCCUGAUUCAGCCAUGCCGCGUGUAUGAUGAAGGCCUUCGGGUUGUAAAGUACUUUCGGCGGGGAGGCGUUACCCGCAGAAGAAGCACCGGCUAACUCCGUGCCAGCAGCCGCGGUAAUUC
rnacentral:rRNA from 1 species